rnacentral:rRNA from 1 species
GAUCCUGGCUCAGAUUGAACGCUGGCGGCAGGCUUAACACAUGCAAGUCGAACGGUAACAUAAAGGAGCUUGCUUCUUUGAUGACGAGUGGCGGACGGGUGAGUAAUGCUUGGGAAUCUAGCUUAUGGAGGGGGAUAACUACGGGAAACUGUAGCUAAUACCGCGUAGAAUCGGGAGAUGAAAGUGUGGGACCUUCGGGCCACAUGCCAUAGGAUGAGCCCAAGUGGGAUUAGGUAGUUGGUGAGGG